UACGAAGGGGGCUAGCGUUGCUCGGAAUCACUGGGCGUAAAGGGCGUGUAGGCGGUUUGUUAAGUCAUGUGUGAAAUCCCUCGGCUCAACCGGGGAACGACGCAUGAAACUGGCAAGCUAGAGUACCAAAGAGGGGGGUGGAAUUCCCGGUGUAGCGGUGAAAUGCGUAGAGAUUGGAAAGAACACCGAUGGCGAAGGCACUUUACUGGGCUAUUACUAACACUCAGAGACGAAAGCUAGGGUAGCAAAUGGG
rnacentral:rRNA from 1 species